AUUGAACGCUGGCGGCAGGCCUAACACAUGCAAGUCGAGCGGAUGACGGGAGCUUGCUCCUUGAUUCAGCGGCGGACGGGUGAGUAAUGCCUAGGAAUCUGCCUGGUAGUGGGGGACAACGUUUCGAAAGGAACGCUAAUACCGCAUACGUCCUACGGGAGAAAGCAGGGGACCUUCGGGCCUUGCGCUAUCAGCUGAGCCUAGGUCGGAUUAGCUAGUUGGUGGGGUAAUGGCUCACCAAGGCGACGAUCCGUACUGGUCUGAGAGGAUGAUCAGUCACACUGGAACUGAGACACGGUCCAGACUCCUACGGGAGGCAGCAGUGGGGAAUAUUGGACAAUGGGCGAAAGCCUGAUCCAGCCAUGCCGCGUGUGUGAAGAAGGUCUUCGGAUUGUAAAGCACUUUAAGUUGGGAGGAAGGGCAGUAAGCUAAUACCUUGCUGUUUUGACGUUACCGACAGAAUAAGCACCGGCUAACUCUGUGCCAGCCGCCGCGGUAACAC
rnacentral:rRNA from 1 species